ACCUUUAUCCUCUGUAAGUCGCUUUGGAUAAAAGCAUCUGCUAAAUGACUAAAU
rfam:Larimichthys crocea isolate SSNF unplaced genomic scaffold scaffold205, whole genome shotgun sequence.